AAUCUUCCGCAAUGGACGAAAGUCUGACGGAGCGAUGCCGCGUGAGUGAUGAAGGUCAUCGGAUCGUCCAACUCUGUUGUCAGGGAAGAACAAGUAUCGGAGUAAUAUGCCGGUACCUUGACUGUACCUAACCAGAAAGCCCCGUCUAACUACGUGCCAGCAGCCGCGGUAAUACGUAGGGGGCAAGCGUUGUCAGGAAUUAUUGGGCGUAAAGGGCACGCAGGCGGUUAAUUAAGUCUGAUAUGAAAUCUUGUGGCUUAACAACAAGCGGUCAUUGGAAACUGGAUAACUUGAGUACAGAAGCGGAGAGUGGAAUUCCACGUGUAGCGGUGAAAUGCGUAGAGAUGUGGAGGAACACCAGUGGCGAAGGCGGCUCUCUGGUCUGUAACUGACGCUGAGGCGCGAAAGCGUGGGGAGCAAACA
rnacentral:rRNA from 1 species